GGCGUAAGCGCGCGCAGGUGGCUAUGUAAGUCUGAUGUUAAAGCCCGAGGCUCAACCUCGGUUCGCAUUGGAAACUGUGUAGCUUGAGUGCAGGAGAGGAAAGUGGUAUUCCACGUGUAGCGGUGAAAUGCGUAGAGAUGUGGAGGAACACCAGUGGCGAAGGCGACUUUCUGGCCUGUAACUGACACUGAGGCGCGAAAGCGUGGGGAGCAAACAGGAUUAGAUACCCUGGUAGUCCACGCCGUAAACGAUGAGUGCUAGGUGUUAGGGGUUUCAUUACCCUUAGUGCCGCAGCUAACGCAAUAAACACUCCGCCUG
rnacentral:rRNA from 1 species